UACGGAGGGGGCCAGCGUUGUUCGGAAUCAUUGGGCGUAAAGGGCGCGUAGGCGGCCUAGUAAGUCCGUUGUGAAAGCCCUCGGCUCAACCGAGGAAUUGCGUCGGAUACUGCUGGGCUUGAGUCCCGGAGAGGGUAGCGGAAUUCCCAGUGUAGCGGUGAAAUGCGUAGAUAUUGGGAGGAACACCAGUGGCGAAGGCGGCUACCUGGACGGGUACUGACGCUGAGUGCGCGAAAGCGUGGGGAGCAAACAGG
rnacentral:rRNA from 1 species